rnacentral:rRNA from 1 species
CCUACGGGAGGCAGCAGUAGGGAAUCUUCCACAAUGGGCGAAAGCCUGAUGGAGCAACGCCGCGUGAGUGAUGAAGGCCUUCGGGUUGUAAAACUCUGUCUUCUGGGACGAACGGACAGGAGAGGGAAUGCUCUUGUUGUGACGGUACCAGAGGAGGAAGCCACGGCUAACUACGUGCCAGCAGCCGCGGUAAU